rnacentral:rRNA from 1 species
GUCUACGGCCAUGCCACCCUGAACAAGCCCGAUGUCUGAUCUCGGAAGCUAAGCAGGGUCGGGCCUGGUUAGUACUUGGACAGGAGACCACCUAGGAAGACCAGGUGUUGUAGGCA